AGAAAGGAUUGGAAAAUAGUCGAUGCCAACGCAGAGGCUCUUGUUCUCGUAUGAGCCAUAGUUGUCUAUUGACUGAAGGUGGUGGAGAUAAUUCAACAAGAUGAUUUACAAUGUAAUUCAAGAGAUCUGUCUAGUCUGUUGGACUGUUAAGGCACCACACAAGGUUUGUCGACCAUUCUUUUCCUCACCGUCUUUUGAAUGACUAAUUCCUGAGAAUAGUAAACCGUUAUUGUUAAAGAAUAUACAGCCAAGAUCUUGCAGCGGACAGUAGAAAAUGGCAGUUUAAACUUCAGAUCAUUGUGUCAACCGUCUCGUGCAAACCACAAAACCAGGCAGUGUAAUCAAGAU